UCUUUCAUAACCUUUGAGAUUUUCCACAGUUCUUUCCAAACCCUAUUCACUUUUACGCCUUCAUACGUUCCUGAUCCAUCCAUCAUUUAUUCAUGCCUAAUCAUCUUCGCAAGAUCUUAUAAUCUACUCCGUCGCCGUCCAAAAAGUUCAUGAUUCUCGAUUUUUAGUCAAGAUACCAUAGGCACAGAGUGAUCAAAAUCUUGUGAUGGCUUCAAAGAGGAUAUCACGAGGAGUUUGUGGCAGCGUGGGGUCCGGGAAAUCGAGCUUUAUUUCUUGUAUUCUUCGUGAAAUCCUGAAAAUAUCCGGUGAAGUUCGAAUUUGAGUCAUGAUCUACAUCAAGAUUUAAGACCCCUGUUAAUCGUCUCUAUAAAUAUACGUACAGCUUCAACUCGUUCCAAACCAUUCACCAGCCUUACGCUCUCACCAUUGUUUUUAACCUCUGAAACCAACCUUCUUCUCGGCAACCUGCGACGACAUCACUACCAAGUUUGAAACGCACGCGAACCGUUGUACCAGGCUGAAGGUUUUUUUACAAUUAAUGCAGACAAUAACCAGGAAGAACAUCCGAGAAACCAGUUGAACAGUGGAGUGGUUCCAGAUAGUAUUGAUGUACACUGUUUGGCUGGUCUUAUCAAGGUGUAUGAUGAUUGUUGUAUUAAUAUUUCAUUUAGUUUUUUAAUUU